rnacentral:rRNA from 1 species
CCUACGGGGGGCAGCAGUGGGGAAUAUUGCACAAUGGGGGAAACCCUGAUGCAGCGACGCCGCGUGAGUGAAGAAGUAUUUCGGUAUGUAAAGCCCUAUCAGCAGGGAAGAAAAUGACGGUACCUGACUAAGAAGCCCCGGCUAACUACGUGCCAGCAGCCGCGGUAAUACGUAGGGGGCAAGCGUUAUCCGGAUUUACUGGGUGUAAAGGGAGCGUAGACGGCUGCACAAGUCGGGAGGGAAAUGCCGGGGCUGAACCCCGGAACUGCUUUGGAAACUGUGCAGCUAGAGUGCAGGAGAGGUAAGUGGAAUUCGUAGUGUAGCGGUGAAAUGCGUAGAUAUUAGGAGGAACACCAGUGGCGAAGGCGGCUUACUGGACUGUAACUGACGUUGAGGCUCGAAAGCGUGGGGAGCAAACAGGAUUAGAUACCCCUGUAGUC